GUGAACGCUGGCGGUAGGCCUCACACCUGCAAGUCGAACGGCAGCACAGUAAGAGCUUGCUCUUACGGGUGGCGAGUGGCGGACGGGUGAGGAAUACAUCGGAAUCUACUUUUUCGUGGGGGAUAACGUAGGGAAACUUACGCUAAUACCGCAUACGACCUACGGGUGAAAGCAGGGGAUCUUCGGACCUUGCGCGAUUGAAUGAGCCGAUGUCGGAUUAGCUAGUUGGCGGGGUAAAGGCCCACCAAGGCGACGAUCCGUAGCUGGUCUGAGAGGAUGAUCAGCCACACUGGAACUGAGACACGGUCCAGACUCCUACGGGAGGCAGCAGUGGGGAAUAUUGGACAAUGGGCGCAAGCCUGAUCCAGCCAUACCGCGUGGGUGAAGAAGGCCUUCGGGUUGUAAAGCCCUUUUGUUGGGAAAGAAAAGCAGCAGGUUAAUACCCCGCUGUUCUGACGGUACCCAAAGAAUAAGCACCGGCUAACUUCGUG
rnacentral:rRNA from 1 species